rnacentral:rRNA from 1 species
UCGAGAAGGGCAAAAAGACCAAAAAAAAAGAAAAAAAAAAAAUUUUUUAGAUACCCUGGUAGUCCACGCCCUAAACGAUGUCAACUAGUUGUUGGGGAUUCAUUUCCUUAGUAACGUAGCUAACGCGUGAAGUUGACCGCCUGGGGAGUACGGUCGCAAGAUUAAAACUCAAAGGAAUUGACGGGGACCCGCACAAGCGGUGGAUGAUGUGGAUUAAUUCGAUGCAACGCGAAAAACCUUACCUACCCUUGACAUGGUCGGAAUCCCGCUGAGAGGUGG